GCUUGCGUCCCGUCCUUGAUACUUGUGGUUGCACCCCUUUGCGCUGUAAGAAUUUUCACGUCAAGUAUGCACCAACUCGCCCAGAAAAAAGUUUUAAUGAAGCACCUUUCUUGUUCAGUGGGCCCUUCCUUCUGUGUUCUUCCCUCUUCUCGCAUCACUGACCUUUUACUGACCCACAUGCUGAACGCUACAUGCCGGGCAAGACGCUACGCCUUCUGUAUCCGCAAGGGCCUCGUCCCAGAUGAAGUAAGUGCUCUCUUUGGCCCUGUAAAACCGUCGUGGGGACACGUUAAAAGACUGUGCAGAUUAAUGCGGUCAGAACUGCGCCGGCAAGUUCGUCUUUUUCAAGACUGGCGUCGAUUGGUUUGCUACGUUGACCACCCCGGAUGGCUCGCCGCAAAAAAAGCAAAAAAGCUAAAAAAGCGCUGAUGAAAGCAGCUGCUCAACUCACGGAGUACCAUUGGAGGUGCCUUCUGAACCUGUUGCUGCCUUGUUUAGAGGGGUCCAAGAUAUGGAUUGGAGCCUGGUGUCUCAGCCCAUGAGCCGAUUGCAACGAACGGGAAAUUGGCCAUGAAAGCAAGAAAUGAAGAGGACCCGGACCGCUGCCUUCUUGAGGGUGUAGAAUGUCUGCGGAAGUGCUCACCAAACGUUCUUGAUGUGCAGAAUCAUACAAAUGUGUUAAAUGGUGUGGUUUCUUUGUUUAAAAGAAAUAACCUUAUGCUUGCUCAAGCAGACAAAGAGACUGGGUUUGUUGUUCUACCAAAGGGAAUGUAGAGUGAAAAAGAGCAAGUGGCCAUCAAUAAGAAUUUUGAGCCUGUUAAGAAGAGCGCCGUUAGGGUCAAGACCAAGUUAACUUCUGCAGGGAAUUAAAUCUCGACAAACUUGCGAGGCAUAUUGCUAAUAGCAGAGGUAGUAGCCUAAACGCAUUUUUUACAGCCAACACCCACAAACCAGAUAAUCCAUUCCGCACUAUCGUUAGUGAAUAAGAUUCGUGGCAAAUAAACGUUAGUCGAUUUCUGCAAAAGCAUCUCAAAACGCUUGCUUUAGAUGAUCCGUUCCUAUCAAAAGAAUCUACGGAUGUCGCGCUGUUUCUUGAUAGCACAGAUAACAUUGGCGUUGGUUUUUCCG